rnacentral:rRNA from 1 species
AUUGAACGCUGGCGGCAUGCCUUACACAUGCAAGUCGAACGGUAACGCGGGGCAACCUGGCGACGAGUGGCGAACGGGUGAGUAAUGUAUCGGAACGUGCCCAAUAGUGGGGGAUGGCCCGGCGAAAGCCGGAUUAAUACCGCAUACGACCUAAGGGUGAAAGCGGGGGAUCGCAAGACCUCGCGCUAUUGGAGCGGCCGAUAUCAGAUUAGCUAGUUGGUGGGGUAAAAGCCUACCAAGGCGACGAUCUGUAGCUGGUCUGAGAGGACGACCAGCCACACUGGGACUGAGACACGGCCCAGACUCCUACGGGAGGCAGCAGUGGGGAAUUUUGGACAAUGGGCGAAAGCCUGAUCCAGCCAUGCCGCGUGCGGGAGGAAGGCCUUCGGGUUGUAAACCGCUUUUGUCAGGGAAGAAAAGGCUCGAACUAAUACUUUGGGCUCAUGACGGUACCUGAAGAAUAAGCACCGGCUAACUACGUGCCAGCCGCCGCGGUAAAAC